CAGUAGGGUGCCAUCAAGAGGUGUAUUUGGAAAUAUCCCUAAUACAGGAUCACUUG
rnacentral:rRNA from 1 species